rnacentral:rRNA from 1 species
AUUGAACGCUGGCGGCAGGCCUAACACAUGCAAGUCGAACGAGUGGCGGACGGGUGAGAAAUGUCUGGGAAACUGCCUGAUGGAGGGGGAUAACUACUGGAAACGGUAGCUAAUACCGCAUACCAUCGGAUGUGCCCAGAUGGGAUUAGCUAGUGGUGGGGGUAAAGGCUCACCUAGGCGACGAACCCUAGCUGGUCUGAGAGGAUGACCAGCCAACCGGGAACUGAGACCCGGCCCAGACUCCUACGGGAGGCAGCAGUGGGGAAUAUUGCACAAUGGGCGAAAGCCUGAUGCAGCCAUGCCGGGUGUAUGAAGAAGGCCUUCGGGUUGUAAAGUACUUUCAGCGGGGAGGCGUUACCCGCAGAAGAAGCACCGGCUAACUCCGUGCCAGCAGCCGCGGUAAUUC